UGGAUGGAUACAGAGCUGCUUUAUUUUGUAAGGGUAAUUCGUUAUUGUGAAGGGCACACCGGACUUUAUGGGGUGAGACACUUCCGGUUGAACGUUGCACGGGGAACCUCCGAACGAUAGACUGCAACUUCGUGUCGUAGGCCAAGCACAGCCUUUUUACACCUUCUUGACUCGCUGGUGAAUAAAUCGCUGAAAAUAUCAA